rnacentral:lncRNA from 1 species
AUAUAACCACAACAUGGUCGGGAGUUCAUCCACCCAGGCGGACUUUGAUCCGAGUUACCUUUUGUUCAAACCAUUAACUAUGGUUUUGUUUGAUAUCUCAAUCUGUCCGCUGGUCUGAGGAUGUGCUACUGAUGUGAACUGGCGAUGGAUUUCUUCUCUUCACACCACUCCUUGAAGGGGAUUCCUGAUGGGUUUUAUGCAUAAGAACAACCCUAUGUGCUCAUACAAACCCUAAUGCUUGGAUCUAGGUUUCUCUAUUGUACAUGCUUUGAAUCCAAGACUAAUAAACUUAGAUCUAACAUAUUAUAAACUGAAUAAGGGUUUAUAGAAUUACCUUUGAUUGUUAUAUAGCAAUAACAAUCAAUCCCUUGCUUGGAUUGGCUUCAAAAGCUUAGUGCCUCAAGUGAUGCACCUCUAAUGGAGUCACAAACACCUUAUGCAACUUGGAUGAAGAAGAGAAGAAGAGAGGCUGCCCAAAAACGACUAGAAACCCUAGAGAAUCAGUUGUCCACGUUUUUGGAGCCUAAGGGGUCCUUUAUAUACUUGUGUGGGCUGCUAGGGUUUCAGUCAAAACCCUAAUGGAUAGCUUAAACUCUAAGCAGCCCAUGGAACCUUCUGGAUAAGGCUAUGGACGAAAAUAUGAUGGGCUUCCAUCAUAAUUUCGUUCACCCCUUAUUCAUUUAGCAUUCCUUAGCCCAAUAACUCAAUUAUCCAAUAAUUGCAGUCCAGUCCCCUAAAUUUAAUUAAUCUCUUUUAGCCACAAAAUUAAUUAUCAAUUAAUUAUUGACUAAUACUAAUUAAACAAUAUGAUUUCUCCUUUAAUAUAUUAUUCUCAUAAUAUAUUAAUAAAUCAUAUUUAAACCUUUCUCUCCUUAAAUCAUCCUACAUAUUGCUAUGGUGAAGGCAACCCAAAAGGACCAUGCUCAUAAUCGGGUCAAGUACAUACCAAAAUAGUUAUGGACUUAGACACUAAUCCAACAGUCUCCCACUUGGAUAAGUCUAAUAACUAUUUUCCGUAUGACUUCAGAACCUGAUCAGCAAUCGUAGCUUUCAAAAGCCGCUGUCAACUCUGAUCUUAUCAGAUAGCGUGUCCUCUAGAUAAGGGAUUAUAUAUUCCUCCAUUCUCAAGAUAUCGUAUAGACAAAAGACAUGAAUUUCAAUCAUUCUCUCUAUACUGUUUCCCGACUUCCGAUUUAUGACGACUGAUAACAGACUACAAUUGAACACAUCAACUUAGUCCCGGCUUGGCCAAGCGCUUAGGUGUCAUCACUAAAUCAUCGAGAGGCCCACAUAUAUCGCUUUUAUCCCACUUUGGGUAAAAGGAAUGGAUAAACUUCGACUCAAAUGCUCGCUUGCAUUUACUGAUCGAAUCACACACAACAAUAAGUUUUAUAACACCAAGUUACUGGUGCGUUUACUUAUUAUCAAUGUGCAACCGACCAACAAAUAACAACUCACACGUCUCGGUUUCAAGAAUAUACAAUAUUAUCGUCUCACUAAUCACUCGUGAUAAAACCAUGAAGUGAUCCAAGUGAGCGUGGGUUUAAUCCAAUACUCUAAUCUUAUCAAAGCACUCAUGAACUCUGCAGCAAACUUGUGCUAUGUCUAAACACUUCAGACAAUCUACAGACAGAUUCAUGACAGUCUUUAUUCAUACCUACUCCCAACGUAUGACCGACUGUGGAUGUUUGAAUAACCUAGUUAUUCUGGAAGUCAAAACAUGCAAAUUGAAACAUAACAAUAAUACUUAAUCCUAUAUGGCCUCAAACUUGUGAGAGUAAAUAAAACACUUCUAUUUAACCACCAUAUUGAUUACUCAUUAUUAUCGUUUACUGUUUCAGAAAAUCAACUUAUUACUUAAAUUACAACAAUAGCUGUCCCAUGCAUAAAGCAUGCACACUAUGUUUCCUAUGGUCCUUACUUUGUGAAAUAGAUCAAUUGAAAAACCUUUUCAAUGAUGCUCAUUUCACAAUUCCCAAUCCUUAUCAUUAGUGUAAGAACACAAGGUUCUUUGCUACUAUUAGAAUAUGCUAGAUUCUAACAUCUUAUGCAACGAUCCUUUCAUAAAGUCAUAGCACAAAAGUCACCAAGACUUGGCUAAUGAAAUUACAAAGUACUUUCUUAGAAAUUGUUACAAGACAAUUCCAUAGACGUGAAGUCUCACAUUCAAAGUACAUUCCUUUGAACAUCCUUCUUGCAUAAAAGUUUCUAAUCUAGACAUAGAUUCUCAAUAUCCAACUCCCAAUAUGGAAACAUUUCCACAUUUGCCAUAUGACAACUCAUUCUUAAUAGAAUCUUAUCUAUUCAUAAUAAUGUCGAUAUGGUCCAUCCAAUACCAUACUUCCAACUACUCACAAGCGACCAAUCCUCAGCGAACUUUGGAUCGUCCUUUGAUAGUUGUUUAAUUAUUUUAGUCAAAACCAAUUCUAGUCCUUUUUCCCUCUUAAUGCGCUAGACAUUUGGAAAAUUUUAGAAUGGUAAAAUAUUAUAGCAUUUGCAAUCGAUCCUAUACCCGAAGCGUAUGGGACACGAUGCAUAAUGUCUUACAUAAAGAUAUGAUACUUUACCAAUCUUUUGCCAUAAUAUUUUAUGUGUCAUGUUCUCACAAUUCGAACUAUGAAGAGGGAUGCCGUAAUCAUAAUCGAAUUUUAAGAACACACAAUGUAUCCUUUGACUGAAAAUAUUAAAAUUUCUCAAUCUAAGCUUUAGAUUUUGAAACGAAGUAUAAUAUUCUCUCCCUUAAUUAUAUUAAAACAACUUUUCAACCCAUGCAACUUUGCAAAUUGAAUCUUUGUUUUUCUAUAAUUAAUAUUGCUAACUUGCAAUACUCGCCAUAAUAAUCAUACAAGCAUAACACUUAUGCUCCCACUAUCAUGAUGAUUAUUAUCAUAUAAGCAUAACACUUAUGCUCCCACUAGCUUUGACAUGUAUUCAGAAAACAAAUGAACUUUCAGAAAACAAUGCCUAUUGAAUUUCUGAAAUUCAUAUUUCUAAUACCAGAUGCUUCGAUAAGCCUUUAUCUAGGCUUCUUAACCUUAUACACCUUUGUCUUAGAUAGCUCAUAUGUGUGUUUAAACAAUUCAGAACUUAUGUUACUAAGUUCCAAAUGUUGAAACUAAUUGCCAAAUCUCAUAAUUCGAACUAUGGAAAGGGAUGCCGUAACCAUAAUCGAAUUUGAGAAUACAAUUUUCACAAUUGCUAUCUUCUUAAAAUCUCUCUUAGUGAAAGCAUUUCCUCACAGUCAUUUUCAUGAAGGAGGGAAUCUUAUGACACUUAGAUUUUAUGGUGUAUGAGUUCCUAUCCAUGUGAAUUUGCCAAAACCAAGGUUUGCGACAAAUCCAAACUCAUAUGGACUGAACUUUCUUAAUCUUGAUUUCUUGCCUUAUGGUAACACGAGUGCCCACCAUGUCUUCCAAGUAGUUUAGUAACUUGUCCUUACAUAUCAAUGUACUUUCCAUCGACUAAGGCUCUAGUAUGCAUUCAAAUGAGAACUCAUAGAACUCACAUACGCAAUUAACUCAAUUGGAAUGGCACAAAAACAAAAUAAUGUCAGCACGAUAGGUUGCAAACCUCAAGUCGUGUGCUAGUGAUGAUCGAUAAGGUAUAUUCUUGAUUUGUUCUUGAAACCUUUCAAGACCAUUAAGACUCCCACUGACUCCUUGACAUAUAAGAUUCUCUUGUCAAGAAACAUUUCUUGACAAAGCAAAUAUUCAAGAGUUAGUGUAGUUCUUAUCAAGACAAAACACUUCACAAAUUGGUCCUAGUUGGUCUUUGUCUUAUCCAAGACAUCACAACUUACCAAUUUCUAAUGUGCAAGAAUAAGAAAACUUUUCCAAAUUCCACAUUUGAUGAGUGUUAUAAACCUACUUAAGACUUGUCACUCAAUGUCACAAUCUUGGAGUAUGACUCUAAGACUUGAUAUUGGAACGAAGUAUGAUUGACUCUUUGAUUUAACCAUUUCUACAAUUCUCGAUUCCUCUUCUUAGACAUGCAAAUGCACUAAGACUCACUUAGAGGAUCAAUUGAGAUAUGGUUCUUAAUCAUUAAGACUUCAUCAUAAAACACAAUAAAAGGUACUCUCCCUUCUUCUUAGAAUGGAGAAACUUUUAUCUUUCUGCCUUCUUGAUUCUUCUUAUUCGUUCUGCUAUUGAUUGAAACUAUUUCAGUUAACUCAGAAUUAUACUCAAUCUUAUAAGUAUAACCAUAUUUACUAAACUUUAGUAAAUCAUGACGAAUAUCUUUGUCACUCUUGUGGUAGACUUGAUCAACGUACGACCUAGUGUACUCGAUCUCCUAGUCCUUCAAUUGACACUUUGUCAAAGAAUUAGUCUAAGUUUCCCAAAUGUGAAAGUUUUUCAUUCAUCAUACAAUACACAUUGCAUGAUUCCAAGUUUCUGUCCAAUUGAAACUUGGGCGAUGAGAAACUCUCCCUAUUUGGUAAACUUUUGACAUUUCCACAAAUAACAUAAUUAAGAAUCAAAUCCAUUAUUGCUAAUAAUAGAAACAUUCAAACAUCAAUUUUUCAUACAUGCCAUUGCAAGGAUAAAUAAAUAAGAUAAAAUCAAAAUUCAUUUUAUUGCGGAAAAAAUUUGUCCUUACAAUGCAAUUCAAUUGAAAAACUAUGUUAUUACAUAUUUCUUAACAAUCUAUUCUAACUCCAAGUAGUAGCUCAAGAAUCCAUUCUUCAAGUAAUGCGAUCGAAAUCCAUUUCUUCAUGAUUAGAUUCAGCUCACUUCUUCCCUCAAGCUUCCUCUCUUUUCUUCGAUCCUACAAAACAUCAAAAUGUAAUCUUAUCACAUCAUGUAUUAAGAAUCUAGAAUAGGAACUCAAAAGAGUUAGAUAAUGGAUUUUACCUGAAGCAGAGCCAUACGUCUUGACUCUCCCAUCUCUUAGAUCUCUCAGGUAGUUAGGGCAGCUUCGUCUCCAAUGCCCCUUCUCUUGGCAAUAAAAGCAAAUGGACUCCUUUGGCACAGCACAUCGGACAAUCACAGACUUAGUUCUUUCUGGACUUCCAAUGUUGCCAGUGUCCAUUGAAGUUUGGGAGUUUGAUUCACCAGACAAAUUUGCUUGACCAGCACGCCAAAUCAUUGCUGAUUCAGCAGCUAUAAGCAAAUAGGUGAGAUCAAUUAGGGUCACGUCGUGGUCCAUCAUAUAGUACUCUCUAACGAACUCACUAUAUGAUUCAGGAAGUGACUGAAGAACCCAGUCAACAGCCAACUCACUUGAAAUCUCGACACCCAACAUGUUUAACCUAUCAAUGUGUGACUUCAUCUCUAAGACGUGUGCACACACAGGUUUCCCAUCUUCGUGUUUACUUGCCAAAAGGGCUUGAGUGAGCUUGAACUUUUCAAGCCUUUGAACUUGUGGGUCAGGGAGAACAAUUGGAGGAGGUGGAGGAAGUGAAGCAUGACUCUCAUUUCCUUGAUCGUAUCUCGGAACGUCAUCUUCAUUUGGAAAGCUUGUUCCAAAGGAUUUGGGAAGACCAUUGUAAGAUUCAGACAUCUACAAAACGGGAGAAAAUUCAAGUUAUGUUGAUUAGAAUUCUUGAUGUAACACCCAAAUGAAACAUCAAGCUAGGAUCCAACACAAUAUUCUACAACCUAGAAAAGGGAUGCCGUAAUCUAGUUGCAAAAUAUUUGAAGGUAGGUAAAUGACGAUUUACCAAUUUCCACCAUGAAAAACGAAAAGGAAGAUUAAGUUUUAAAUGAAUUGAAACUCCUAGAUCUUUUGAGAUUCAUUGAACUUUUCAAUGGCAUGUUUAAUCUCGAUUAUGCCCUACUAUUUGUGACUGGGAUGCCGAGGAUCACAAACAAGGUGUGAAUAACCAUACGAAUCACGUGGUGCACCCAAUGCUACAAUCACCUAAUCAAUGUGCCGGUUAGCCACACACGCUCCAUUGAUCUAUGAUAAACAUCGAGUCACCCUUCGCUACCAAUGUCAUCCCCAAAUUAGUGUGCCGGUUAACCACACACGCUCCACUAACGUUUGACAAGGGUACGAAGUGUAAUUCCAUGGGUUAGCAUACAAUUUCACAUUUUGCCUAAAGUAACUAUGAUUUGGGAAUUUGAAAAAGCAUUUAGUUACUUUGUACUUCAUUAUACUUAUAAUGGAAGGUUUCUGUCCUAUCCUACCCGUUCGGCUAACGACCCUCCACUAGUCAAGAGUGCGGUGGGUAAGAGUGGAUACCCAUUCAAUCGCCAUUUUAUAGGCAAUUUCCUUAAACACCCCUUAUAGACCAGCUUCGUGAAUGAGGCCUACUAACGGUAAGACUGACUGUUUACUCAUACAUAUAUAUAAUAUUAGACUUUUAAUGUUAUAUAUAGUAUAGGAUGUAUUUUACACUUUUAAAAUACUAGGUGGUUUAACUUAGUAAAUUAUACUUUUAAUUUAAUUAAAUGUAAACCAAAAACUUUAUGGGUUUAUUAAAUCGCCUUUAAUUAUGCACUUUAAUUAAUUAACAAAACCAUAAGGGUGUGAUUUGAACUUUUCAAAUUACUAGGGUUUUAGAAUUUAACAUUUCAAAAUUAAACUUUUAGUCGAAUUUUUAAAUUCCAAAACUUGAGGGCAAGUUUUGAAAUAUUUCAAAACAUUAGGGAUCAAAUAACAUAUAAUUCAAAUUAAACAAUUAAUUUCAUAAUUAUCUAUAUUUGACCUAAUCUUAUCUUAGACACUAGAUAAUUACCAAAUAAUUUGAAUUAAUCCAUAUUUAUCAUAUAAACAACCAAUAUUUAAAAGAUUUGAAAUUAUCUAUUGUUUUGGCAAGGAUAAACAUAUAAUUAAGAUAAAAUUCAGAUUUUAACUUCAUAAAACAAAUUAAGCAUCAAAUCUAAGUCAAAACAGCAGCUAAAUCCCGAAAUUCCCUCUGUCUGACCCCUGGACUCGCCGAGUCAGACCUGGACUCGCCGAGUCCAGAUACUGACUCGCCGAGUUGAGUUGGGCAGAGGCCAAAAACUCGAUUUUAAGCAAACAAAAUAGUUAAGCAUCAGAUACAACUGAAAACAAUCAAGUCUCUGAUACCACUGAUGGGUUUUAUGCAUAAGAACAACCCUAUGUGCUCAUACAAACCCUAAUGCUUGGAUCUAGGUUUCUCUAUUGUACAUGCUUUGAAUCCAAGACUAAUAAACUUAGAUCUAACAUAUUAUAAACUGAAUUAGGGUUUAUAGAAUUACCUUUGAUUGUUAUAUAGCAAUAACAAUCAAUCCCUUGCUUGGAUUGGCUUCAAAAGCUUAGUGCCUCAAGUGUUGCACCUCUAAUGGAGUCACAAACACCUUAUGCAACUUGGAUGAAGAAGAGAAGAAGAGAGGCUGCCCAAAAACGACUAGAAACCCUAGAGAAUCAGUUGUUCACGUUUUUGGAGCCUAAGGGGUCCUUUAUAUACUUGUGUGGGCUGCUAGGGUUUCAGUCAAAACCCUAAUGGACAGCUUAAA